GUGGGGAAUCUUGCGCAAUGGGCGAAAGCCUGACGCAGCAACGCCGCGUGGGGGAUGAAGGCUCUCGGGUUGUAAACCCCUUUCAGCAGGGACGAAUCAAGACGGUACCUGCAGAAGAAGCCCCGGCAACUACGUGCCAGCAGCCGCGGUAACACGUAGGGGGCAAGCGUUGUCCGGAUUUAUUGGGCGUAAAGAGCUCGUAGGUGGCUGAGUAAGUCGGAUGUCAAAUCCCCAGGCUCAACCUGGGAUCCCAUCCGAUACUGCUCUGGCUAGAGUCCGGUAGGGGAGCGUGGAAUUCCUGGUGUAGCGGUGAAAUGCGCAGAUAUCAGGAGGAACACCAGCGGCGAAGGCGGCGCUCUGGGCCGGUACUGACACUGAGGAGCGAAAGCGUGGGUAGCAAACAGGAUUAGAUACCCUGGUAGUCC
rnacentral:rRNA from 1 species